CUUCAUCCUCUGCUCACCUCUGUCAAGCACGCGCGCUCGUUUAUCUUCCUGGUGCCCAGCCGCUUCAUCCUCCAGCGCCCCAACGGCUCUCCUUCUCCGAUGGUGGCCGCGGCGCCCUGUACUCCGGCUCGGCCAACCUCGCUAUGGAUCCGUUCCUGCACCUGUGCUCUAGUCGAUCUCCUUCGGUGUGCCCCAGCUCGCUCUGUCUCGCGACCCUCCCUAGCUCCCUCUGUUUGCACGGCGAAGCUCCCUCUGCUCGUCCUGCGCGCGCUUGAAAUUUUCUUCUUCGCGCGGCUCUGCUCGCCGUCGCGCCCCUAUUCCUCCAUGGCCGCGAGCUCCCUCUGCUGUCUGCUUCGCCGCGCGCCAAGCUCCCAGCCGAAGUCUCCUUCCUGCCGUGCUCCAGCCAUGGCACAUCUCUGUUCGUUCUCCAGCUCCCUGUGCAUCACGGAGCUCCCUUGCCGCGCCCUUGCUUUUCCCUCGCCGGCUGCGCGCCCCUGGCUGGAGCUCCCCUCUACUCGGCCCCUGUCGGCCUGCUCCUCUGCCCUUGCUGCUUCCAACCGCACCGUGUUUCAUCUGCUCGCCCCGGUGCCGCGCGCAGCUUCUUUCUCCAUGGCCGGUGCUCGCCCCUGUGCUCGGAUUCAGUAUUGCGCGUGCGUCCCUCUGCCUCUGCACUCAGAACUCCAUCUGCACGCGUCCUCCACUGCUCCCUGGUGCCGCGUGCGUGCCCCUGGCUCGGCACCCAGCCGUUCUUCCCUGUGCUUGCGAGUCUCCCUGCGUGCAGCUCGCCUCAGCUCCCUGUUCGUCCACGGCGCGCCCCAUUUCCUUUGUCUUGUCAUCGUCGUUCAGUCGCCUCGCCCUCGCGUUCAUUAUAGAUGUCGUGACGUCGGUCGUCAAGGUCUGCUCAGCCAUCAUUCUCUAUUGUGCUAGCUAUCCAUCGCGACAUCCCAAAUCUGUCGCGGCAUACUCGAAUCUCGCCAAUCACAUCUUGGUCGGUCAUCGAUUUAUUGUACGUCAUGGUGCAACACCGUUGUUAAACCCGGUCUCCACCCCGCCAUGGCGUUCGUCGUCCUCUAGUCCCAGUUCGACCCAUCCAUGCGUUCGCUCCUCAUCCAUCGAGUUUCGCGCGUGCUUGCGUUUGCCAUCGAGUCGUCGAACCCGUCAUCCCUUGCUCAAUCCCACCUCACCAGCUCGCUCUAGACACAAUCUUGUUAUCGUUCCGCGAGUCAUCAAGAAAUCCCAAGAAUCAGGUGAAGACGAAGCCCACAGUGUGGUGUUCACCAAGUGCGCGAACAAGUCGUCGAGCGUCAUCCUCGUCUACGCCAAGUCCCCAAGCCGUGAAAACACUCUGGUGUUGGCCACGCGUCACCAGCUCGACAAAAUAAAUCCCAUGGGUAUCUGAUCGAGAAGUAAAGCUGUGUACAACACUCGCCAGACAUGUGUGAUCAAAGACGUCAACCGGAAACCAUCGUCGUGCUUGCGACUAUCACGUCAAAUUAGUCAGGGUAAGUUGAUUCGUAUUCCCGUUAACUAGGUCUAUAAAUAGAGUAAAUAGAAUUAUUGGUCUCAAUAAAUGUUAUUAAUUUAGCAUGCGUAUAUUGUGAUGAUCAAUUUAGAUAAAUCAGUAAAUCAAGUAAUUACGAUACAUAGUUUAAAGAGUUAAUAAAAAGCUAGGAAUAAAAAUAGAUGUUUUAGUGUUAUUAUAUCAAUUUGGUUAAUGGAUGUAGUCGAUGCCCUGCUGUGAUAUCCAUAAUGCUUACUGCUUGGUUUUAAGUGUUUCGUCCUUUUUAGCGUAGAUUAUUUAUCUCAUACUAUGUAUACUCGUGCUCAUACAUGUGCAUCGUGCGUCUCAUGAGGUACGGUAAAUAAUCACGUGAUGCAGAAGACGAGCCAAGUCGAUCCCAAGCACGGGCUAACCCGCAGGAUGAUGCUGAUAGACAAACCUGAAGAUAAUUGUCAAGCGGACAUCGUCUAACAACACUAACUUAGUGUUAUUCAGGUUAUAGCUUUGUACUGCUGAUGAUGGUGUUAAGUGCCGGUGGGCUCAGCCUUCUUAUAAGUCUAAGUACUUCUUCUAUACUUCUUAUUGAGGAUGGUCAUUUGAGCUAGCAUAUAUUUCAAACUUAUACUUUUGUAAUCACUCCGAUAAAUAUAAUGUAAAAUUUUUG
rnacentral:misc_RNA from 1 species